UGCUCCACCGCCCCAUUCCAUGACCGUGUGAGUGCUGCUCAGAGAGGCCCGGGGCUGCCGAAGAGCACAUGUGGUAAGGAGGGAGCUGCUGUGAUGGAGGAAGCAGACCUCCAGGGCCAGGGCCCUACAAGGUGCUCAACAUGCCUGGACGGAUGAAGGGGUACAGCUAGUGACCGGGUACUGGGCUGGGUGAGCUGCUGAUGGCGAUGGCUUUAAGACAUCACCCUGGAAGCAGAAAUGGAGUCCCCACCAGACACUGAACCGGUUGGCACCUUCAGCUUGGACUUCCAGCCUUUAGAGCUGUGAGCAAUGAACAGAAGCAGUUGGUGGUAUUUUGCUGUCACGGCAGGAAUGUUCUUACACAGAUGCUGUGUCUCCAUCAUCCUGCCGUCACCUCUGAGAGAAGGAUAUGGCACCGAUCCCUUGACCCUCCCCAGCACCGUUAGCAACGUUGAGCGCAACUCAAGGCUUACAAAGGUCACAUGGAUGUGGGUGACAUUUAGCUUUCUGGAUGCAGCUCUGGCUCUGUGGAAAAGGGCACUAGGUCUGGAUCACGUAGACAUUCCAAUGAAGUGAGAUGGGGUCACCAUAGAGCCACCUCAGUGUCCAGGAUGCAGGCCAGGAAGCUGCCCGCCCCUACACAUCUCAUGAGGAACGCCAGCCCGAGGAGCCUUGUUGUGACUUAAUUUUCCUAUUGUGUUACCUAAUGGCAUUUGUGUAACAAAAUAUGUGAACAUAGUCCUUUACAAGUUCCUGCCAGGAAAAUGCUGGCUUUAGCCAGGCAGAGUAGUGUACAUCACAUCUGUAAUCCCAGCACUUAGAGGUAGAGAAAAGAGGAUCAAGAGUUUGAGAUCAUCCUGGGAGACCCUGCCUCAAGGCUAGUAUAUAGCUCAGUAGUAAAGCACUUGCUUUACCUGCACAAUGCCCUAGGUUCAAUCCCCAGCACCAAACAAAGCUGUCUUACUGAAACACCCGCUGUACCUCCUUUUACUUAGAAGCCUGCUUUGCUUCCUUUUUUUUUUUUUUUUUUUUAAGUUCUUCUAGGGAGCUCAUGAGAAGACUUGCUCAAAUGAAUUUCCAUCUUCCCAUCUUCGGAAGAACUGGA